rnacentral:rRNA from 1 species
AUUGAACGCUGGCGGAAUGCUUUACACAUGCAAGUCGAACGGCAGCACGGACUUCGGUCUGGUGGCGAGUGGCGAACGGGUGAGUAACAUAUCGGAACGUAUCCAAUAAUGGGGGAUAACUAAUCGAAAGGUUGGCUAAUACCGCAUACGCCCUACGGGGGAAAGCUAGGGACCUUCGGGCCUGGCGUUAAUGGAGCGGCCGAUAUCUGAUUAGCUAGUUGGUGGGGUAAAGGCCCACCAAGGCGACGAUCAGUAGCUGGUCUGAGAGGACGACCAGCCACACUGGAACUGAGACACGGUCCAGACUCCUACGGGAGGCAGCAGUGGGGAAUUUUGGACAAUGGGCGCAAGCCUGAUCCAGCCAUUCCGCGUGAGUGAAGAAGGCCUUCGGGUUGUAAAGCUCUUUUGUCCAGAACGAAACGGGUAAGGCUAAUACUCUUGCCUACUGACGGUACCGGAAGAAUAAGCACCGGCUAACUACGUGCCAGCAGCCGCCGUAAGAC